UGNGUAACGCGUGAGGGAACCUGCCUUCCAAGGGGGACAACAGUUGGAAACGGACUGCUAAUACCGCAUGAUCGNGUUUCGAUGGCAUCAUCGAGACACCAAAAGAUUUAUCGCUGGAAGAUGGCCUCGCGUCUGAUUAGCUAGUAGGCGGGGUAACGGCCCACCUAGGCGACGAUCAGUAGCCGGACGUGAGAGGUUGACCGGCCCACAUUGGGACUGAGAUACGGCCCAGACUCCUACGGAAGGCAGCAG
rnacentral:rRNA from 1 species